AGAGUUUGAUCAUGGCUCAGAAUCAACGCUGGCGGCGUGCCUCAGACAUGCAAGUCGAACGCGAAAGGCUCCUUCGGGGGCCGAGUAGAGUGGCGUCCGGGUGAGUAACACGUAGGUAAUCUACCUUCGGGUGGGGAAUAACUCAGGGAAACUUGAGCUAAUACCGCAUAAUGCAGCGGCUCGACAUCGAGACAGUUGUUAAAGCGGGGGAUCGUAAGACCUCGCGCCUGAAGAGGAGCCUGCGGCAGAUUAGCUAGUUGGUAAGGUAAUGGCUUACCAAGGCGACGAUCUGUAGCCGGCCUGAGAGGGCGGUCGGCCACACUGACACUGACAUACGGGUCAGACUCCUACGGGAGGCAGCAGUCGGGAAUUUUGGGCAAUGGGCGCAAGCCUGACCCAGCAACGCCGCGUGAAGGAUGAAAUCCCUCGGGAUGUAAACUUC
rnacentral:rRNA from 1 species